AACGCUGGCGGCGUGCUUAACACAUGCAAGUCGAACGAUGACGAUGGUGCUUGCACCGUCUGAUUAGUGGCGAACGGGUGAGUAACACGUGAGUAACCUGCCCUCCUCUUCGGGAUAACCGCCGGAAACGGUGGCUAAUACCGGAUAUGAAUGCCUGCCGCAUGGUGGGUGCUGGAAAGAUAUAUCGGUGGGGGAUGGACUCGCGGCCUAUCAGUUUGUUGGUGAGGUAAUGGCUCACCAAGGCGAUGACGGGUAGCCGGCCUGAGAGGGCGACCGGCCACACUGGGACUGAGACACGGCCCAGACUCCUACGGGAGGCAGCAGUGGGGAAUAUUGCACAAUGGGCGAAAGCCUGAUGCAGCGACGCCGCGUGGGGGAUGACGGCCUUCGGGUUGUAAACCUCUUUCAGCAGGGAAGAAGCGAGAGUGACGGUACCUGCAGAAGAAGCGCCGGCUAACUACGUGCCAGCCGCUGC
rnacentral:rRNA from 1 species